rnacentral:rRNA from 1 species
GACAGAGGCCCCAAGCGUUAGGCGGAAUCACUGGGCUUAAAGCGUGUGUAGGCGGAUCGUUAAGUGUCUUGUGAAAUCCCACGGCUCACCUGUGGAACUGCUGGGCAUACUGGCGAUCUUGGGCCAACUAGGGGCAGCCGGAACAAGCGGUGGAGCGGUGAAAUGCGUAGAUAUCGCUUGGAACGCCGAAGGUGAAAACAGGCUGCUGGGGUUGUGCCGACGCUGAGACACGAAAGCCAGGGGAGCAAACGGG